GAUAGUCAUGGAUGCGUUGCCGGCCAAAGCUCAAAGGUCUGCUUGCAUCCACGACGGAU
rnacentral:sRNA from 1 species